UUUGAUCCUGGCUCAGGACGAACGCUGGCGGCAUGCCUAAUACAUGCAAGUCGAACGAGCUUCCGUUGAAUGAUGUGCUUGCACUGAUUUCAACAAUGAAGCGAGUGGCGAACUGGUGAGUAACACGUGGGAAAUCUGCCCAGAAGCAGGGGAUAACACUUGGAAACAGGUGCUAAUACCGUAUAACAACAAAAUCCGCAUGGAUUUUGUUUGAAAGGUGGCUUCGGCUAUCACUUCUGGAUGAUCCCGCGGCGUAUUAGUUAGUUGGUGAGGUAAAGGCCCACCAAGACGAUGAUACGUAGCCGACCUGAGAGGGUAAUCGGCCACAUUGGGACUGAGACACGGCCCAAACUCCUACGGGAGGCAGCAGUAGGGAAUCUUCCACAAUGGACGAAAGUCUGAUGGAGCAAUGCCGCGUGAGUGAAGAAGGGUUUCGGCUCGUAAAACUCUGUUGUUAAAGAAGAACACCUUUGAGAGUAACUGUUCAAGGGUUGACGGUAUUUAACCAGAAAGCCACGGCUAACUACGUGCCAGCAGCCGCGGUAAUACGUAGGUGGCAAGCGUUGUCCGGAUUUAUUGGGCGUAAAGCGAGCGCAGGCGGUUUUUUAAGUCUGAUGUGAAAGCCUUCGGCUUAACCGGAGAAGUGCAUCGGAAACUGGGAGACUUGAGUGCAGAAGAGGACAGUGGAACUCCAUGUGUAGCGGUGGAAUGCGUAGAUAUAUGGAAGAACACCAGUGGCGAAGGCGGCUGUCUAGUCUGUAACUGACGCUGAGGCUCGAAAGCAUGGGUAGCGAACAGGAUUAGAUACCCUGGUAGUCCAUGCCGUAAACGAUGAGUGCUAAGUGUUGGAGGGUUUCCGCCCUUCAGUGCUGCAGCUAACGCAUUAAGCACUCCGCCUGGGGAGUACGACCGCAAGGUUGAAACUCAAAGGAAUUGACGGGGGCCCGCACAAGCGGUGGAGCAUGUGGUUUAAUUCGAAGCUACGCGAAGAACCUUACCAGGUCUUGACAUCUUCUGCCAAUCUUAGAGAUAAGACGUUCCCUUCGGGGACAGAAUGACAGUGGUGCAUGGUUGUCGUCAGCUCGUGUCGUGAGAUGUUGGGUUAAGUCCCGCAACGAGCGCACCCUUAUUAUCA
rnacentral:rRNA from 2 species